rnacentral:rRNA from 1 species
ACCUUAAGCCGGUAAGCUAACCUAGCAAUAGGAGGCAGCCGACCACGGUGGGGUCAAUGACUGGGGUGAAGUCGUAACAAGGUAGCUGUAGGUGAACCUGCAGAAGGAUCA